GGGGGGACGGCGCAUUUGGAGUGCGUGUCGCCUGGAAUCCUACGUUGGGUCUACGUAGGUCGUCGGUUCGAAUCCGGCUCCCCUCA